CUACGGGAGGCUGCAGUGGGGAAUAUUGCACAAUGGGCGCAAGCCUGAUGCAGCCAUGCCGCGUGUAUGAAGAAGGCCUUCGGGUUGUAAAGUACUUUCAGCGGGGAGGAAGGGAGUAAAGUUAAUACCUUUGCUCAUUGACGUUACCCGCAGAAGAAGCGCCGGCUAACUCCGUGCCAGCAGCCGCGGUAAUACGGAGGGUGCAAGCGUUAAUCGGAAUUACUGGGCGUAAAGCGCACGCAGGCGGUUUGUUAAGUCAGAUGUGAAAUCCCCGGGCUCAACCUGGGAACUGCAUCUGAUACUGGCAAGCUAGAGUCUCGUAGAGGGGGGUAGAAUUCCAGGUGUAGCGGUGAAAUGCGUAGAGAUCUGGAGGAAUACCGGUGGCGAAGGCGGCCCCCUGGACGAAGACUGACGCUCAGGUGCGAAAGCGUGGGGAGCAAACAGGAUUAGAUACCCCUGUAGUC
rnacentral:rRNA from 1 species